ACACAUGCAAGUCGAACGAGAAAGUUCCCUUCGGGGGGCGAGUAAAGUGGCGGACUGGGUGAGUAACACGUGGGUAAUCUGCCCUUGAGUGGGGAAUAACUCUGGGAAACCGGAGCUAAUACCGCAUACGAUCCUUCGGGAUAGAAAGCUUUAUAGCGCUCAAGGAUGAGCCCGCGGUCGAUUA
rnacentral:rRNA from 1 species